rnacentral:rRNA from 1 species
UACGUAGGGUGCGAGCGUUAAUCGGAAUUACUGGGCGUAAAGCGCGUGUAGGCGGCAGCGCAAGUCGGGCGUGAAAUCCCACGGCUCAACCGUGGAAGUGCACUCGAAACUGCGCAGCUAGAGUCCUGGAGAGGAAGGUGGAAUGCUUGGUGUAGAGGUGAAAUUCGUAGAUAUCAAGCGGAACACCGGUGGCGAAGGCGACCUUCUGGACAGUGACUGACGCUGAGACGCGAAAGCGUGGGGAGCAAACAGG